AGUGAACGCUGGCGGUAGGCCUAACACAUGCAAGUCGAACGGCAGCACAGUAAGAGCUUGCUCUUACGGGUGGCGAGUGGCGGACGGGUGAGGAAUACAUCGGAAUCUACUUUUUCGUGGGGGAUAACGUAGGGAAACUUACGCUAAUACCGCAUACGACCUACGGGUGAAAGCAGGGGAUCUUCGGACCUUGCGCGAUUGAAUGAGCCGAUGUCGGAUUAGCUAGUUGGCGGGGUAAAGGCCCACCAAGGCGACGAUCAGUAGCUGGUCUGAGAGGAUGAUCAGCCACACUGGAACUGAGACACGGUCCAGACUCCUACGGGAGGCAGCAGUGGGGAAUAUUGGACAAUGGGCGCAAGCCUGAUCCAGCCAUACCGCGUGGGUGAAGAAGGCCUUCGGGUUGUAAAGCCCUUUUGUUGGGAAAGAAAAGCAGCAGGUUAAUACCCCGCUGUUCUGACGGUACCCAAAGAAUAAGCACCGGCUAACUUCGUG
rnacentral:rRNA from 1 species